ACAAAUAUACUUUGAAAUCUUUUGGUCGCCAAAUCGGAAAUGUUUUUGGCUUAUUUACACAUUUAAUGCUUUCGGCGCCGUCUGUAUAUUCGACAUUAACAGACGCCGACUGGCAAAAUGCAAAGCCAGAAAACCCGUUUCGGUUUCUGGAGAAGAAGCCAUUCGAGAUCGAAACCGUGGAGCAACGCCGAGGGAUACAAACAAAGAUGGGGCGAAAUGCAUCCCAAAGGAACAGUGAAUCGCAACGAGGAAAUAAACAGUGUGUUGAUACGAGAUUAGCUAAUUGAAAGCUUAAAUAUGCAUGCCAAUCUACUACGCUCAGCUCAACUUAUGCUAAUUUCCACUCGACUGUCGGAUUCAAAUUCUAUUCUAUGUGUUGUAGUCCGUGACGUCAGGUGGCAACAGCAUAUGGAGGCACAUCGGAUCGGCGUGACCUUUGACCGCAGACAGCGAGCUUAGCAUACCGAAAACUUAACUAAAACAAGUCUUGGGUUAACCAACAAUUGGAUUCGAAUAAUUCGUCAAUUCCUGACAGUUAACUAAUCGCUUAAAAAUUCGAAUUGUGUGUAGAAAAUAAAGAACAAUCAUUAGCAAACCAC
ensembl:ncRNA lncRNA:CR45158 long non-coding RNA:CR45158